AUGCACGCUGGCGGCGUGCCUAAUACAUGCAAGUCGCGCGAACAGACGAGGAGCUUGCUCCUCUGACGUUAGCGGCGGACGGGUGAGUAACACGUGGAUAACCUACCUAUAAGACUGGGAUAACUUCGGGAAACCGGAGCUAAUACCGGAUAAUAUAUUGAACCGCAUGGUUCAAUAGUGAAAGACGGUUUUGCUGUCACUUAUAGAUGGAUCCGCGCCGCAUUAGCUAGUUGGUAAGGUAACGGCUUACCAAGGCGACGAUGCGUAGCCGACCUGAGAGGGUGAUCGGCCCCACUGGAACUGAGACACGGUCCAGACUCCUACGGGAGGCAGCAGUAGGGAAUCUUCCGCAAUGGGCGAAAGCCUGACGGAGCAACGCCGCGUGAGUGAUGAAGGUCUUCGGAUCGUAAAACUCUGUUAUUAGGGAAGAACAAAUGUGUAAGUAACUAUGCACGUCUUGACGGUACCUAAUCAGAAAGCCACGGCUAACUACGUG
rnacentral:rRNA from 1 species